UACGAAGGGGGCUAGCGUUGCUCGGAAUUACUGGGCGUAAAGCGCACGUAGGCGGCUUGUUAAGUCAGGGGUGAAAUCCUGGAGCUCAACUCCAGAACUGCCUUUGAUACUGAGGAUCUUGAGUACGGGAGAGGUGAGUGGAACUGCGAGUGUAGAGGUGAAAAUUCGUAGAUAUUCGCAAGAACACCAGUGGCGAAGGCGGCUCACUGGCCCCGUAACUGACGCUGAGGCACGAAAGCGUGGGGAGCAAACAGG
rnacentral:rRNA from 1 species